rnacentral:rRNA from 1 species
UACGAAGGGGGCUAGCGUUGCUCGGAAUCACUGGGCGUAAAGGGCGCGUAGGUGGCGCCGCAAGUCCAUGGUGAAAGCUCGAUGCUCAACAUCGAGUCGGCCACGGAGACUGCGGGGCGUCGAGCACUGUAGGGGCAGAUGGAAUUCCGGGUGUAGCGGUGGAAUGCGUAGAGAUCCGGAAGAACACCGAUGGCGAAGGCAAUCCCCUGGACCUGUACUGACGCUCAUGCACGAAAGCGUGGGGAGCAAACAGG